rnacentral:tRNA from 1 species
ACUUAAGUAGUUUAAAUAGUUAAAAUAGGAGAGUGUGGGGCUCCAGAUGAGAUUUCUUUAGGUA